UAAGGAAUAUUGGACAAUGGAGGCAACUCUGAUCCAGCCAUGCCGCGUGAAGGAAUAAGGCCCUAUGGGUUGUAAACUUCUUUUAGACGGGACAAAACCCCUUUACGUGUAAAGGGUUGAUGGUACUGUCAGAAUAAGCAUCGGCUAACUUCGUGCCAGCAGCCGCGGUAAUACGAAGGAUGCAAGCGUUAUCCGGAAUUAUUGGGUUUAAAGGGUGCGUAGGCGGACUAAUAAGUCAGUGGUGAAAGCCUGCAGCUUAACUGCAGAAUUGCCAUUGAUACUGUUAUUCUUGAGUACAGUUGAGGUAGGCGGAAUGUGUCAGGUAGCGGUGAAAUGCUUAGAUAUGACACAGAACACCGAUUGCGAAGGCAGCUUGCUAAGCUGUAACUGACGCUGAGGCACGAAAGCGUGGGGAGCAAACA
rnacentral:rRNA from 1 species